rnacentral:ncRNA from 2 species
AAAUUAUCCAGAGAGACGGAGGGAUCAGGCCCUGUGAAAUCUCAGCAGCAGGCUUUUUAAGUACUGUGCUAAUUCCUGCAGGCAGCGGCUUGAAAGAUAAUCA